rnacentral:rRNA from 1 species
UACAGAGGUCCCGAGCGUUGUUCGGAUUCAUUGGGCGUAAAGGGUGCGUAGGUGGCGCCGUAAGUGGGGUGUGAAAUCCCGGGGCUUAACCCCGGGACUGCAUUCCAUACUGCGAUGCUUGAGGACUGGAGAGGAGACUGGAAUUUACGGGUGUAGCAGUGAAAUGCGUAGAGAUCGUAAGGAAGACCAGUGGCGAAGGCGGGUCUCUGGACAGUUCCUGACACUGGAGGCACGAAGGCCAGGGGAGCAAACGGG